GACAUAGGUGGCAAACGUUAUCCGGAAUUAUUGGGCGUAAAGAGUGCGUAGGUGGUUUAAUAAGUUAGUAGUGGUAAAUUGAGGCUCGACCUCAUGGAAAUUACUAAUACUAUUAACUAGAGGAUCGGAGGGGUUAACGGAAUUCUAUGUGUAGCAGGUAAAAUGCUCAAAUAUAUAGAAGGAACACCAAUUGGCGAAGGCAGUUAACUAUUCGAUUCCUGAC
rnacentral:rRNA from 1 species